rnacentral:tRNA from 1 species
CGGUCUGUAGCUCAGUCGGUCAGAGCGCUUGGUUGAAGCCCAGGAGGUCGCAGGUUCGAAUCCUGCCGGAUCGGCCA